AGUGGAUGUAGGAAAUGGGAUCCACAUGUGUGAGGUGAGGGAACGCCCCUAAUUGCAACGGGCAGCUGAGCAAACCUGACUGAAGGCUUCCAACUGCAAGGCUGACUGAAAACCUGCCCCUAAACAAACCCAAGAAGUUUAAUAGCUACUGUGGAGACUGCAAUUGGAUGCAAAUUUUGGGUCUGGCUUUUCAGAGAUGACACAGCAAGCCCCAGGUCAGAUGUAUGCCCAGUUCACAUCGGUCAGGAGAAGAGUGGGAGAGGAAAUUGUUAUCACAAUUGCAAAAGCCUGGCAGAAAAAUUAUUACAGCUGUUUUUAAGAAUGGGUUUCCCACAUCACCCAAUCUCAAGAGACCACCUUGAACACUGCUUGGAAGGAAAGCAGCACUGAAGACAGCCAACUGCAAAAUAACCUGAGUGGCUUCCUCAUCCCACUUUGUCAAGAGUUCUCUGAAAAAGGAAAUGAAGACUUACAGGUUCCUAACUUCACAAGUCCUUUAGAAACAGAAAUGGCUCACAAAGGGAAGCAGAUACCCUUGCAUUUUGGAGGUCAGCCUCCUUUACCAAGGCACAGAGAAGGGAGCUAACUGGCUUGGUGUGCUGUCACCAGGGGCAGAAGGCGAUGCUGGCAGAAGCACUGGCUGUGUGUGGCUGUCCACCUUCCUUACCCUGGGAGCAGAUCCAAAGAUCAUACACUGGGAAAAGCUUAAUGCGUUUUCAUGUGAAAAAUAACCACCUUAGGAAGUGGGCCACAGUCCCACAGGAUAUCCCAGCAUCUCAGCGCCAGGCAUUUCAGCUUGCUGUUGCUGUAGGGCAACCCUGCAAGGAUGGAAAAAUGGGUAGGUUUGGGGCAGACAGGCAGUGUGGGAUGUUUUGCUACAGGUCGGGAAACUUCCUGAGGCUGUUAGACAGGAGGUGCAGGUCAAGUGUGUUUGGAGGUGAGUGGGUGGUGUGAAUCCCCCUCUUCUGAAGAGUUUUCCUCAGACCAAGCUUGGCACAGCCCAGGGUAAGUAGGCCUCAUGCAGCUGAAGAGAGGUUUUGUUUGCUUUCUUGUUUGCUGGUGCAAGGCUUCUCAGAGAGGCUGCUACGAGAAGUCAGGCUGGUAUUUUAACUUGAGUCCAGAAGCAUCAGCCCUGACGCAGAUUGGAGUGGAAAGUUCUCCUCUUAGAAAAACUGAAAUAAGAGGGUGGUUUCGCUCUGUGUACUGCUUGGGCCAGGCAGCUAUCAUUACUGACUUUCAGUCCUCGGUUCAACACGCGCUUAGAGCUCUAGCUCAGAAAUUGCGUGUCCUCUUCCCAUGCAGAGAGGAAAAAGGCAGCUCAGGUCCUCCUGCAUUGCAUGCAUGGUGAGCAGCACAACAUCUUGCUGGCAGCUGCUAAGUGCUGCUCAGCGUGGGCUGCCUCUUAUGCAACACCUGGGCAGUCCCAGGUGCAGACAAACAGGGUUGUGAAGCACAGUGCUUGCAGAACUCUUCCCUCCUUCCUUGUGAAACUCCCUCCUCCAAGCUACUGAAAUCCUGGGAUAAUAAUUAACUAAGUUAAAACUUGCUCCGUAAUCGCAGCCAUGUGCACUUUGCUGGGUGCGUUCAAGUUAGAAAUGUUUGCAUUUUAAGGCUCUUUCUGCGUGAUGGUCUUGCAGCACUAUGCAUACAUUCACUCAUUUGUUUUCACGUUAUGCUUUGUGUUUUAUUUUCAGUUGGAGGGAUGACAAGCUUCUUUUCAGGGUGUCCCUUGAAAGACACACAGGCAAAUUAAUCGCGUUACCUUAAACUGGGAAUAUAAAAAGGAUUUAAAUUGAAGGUGUGGGGGCCUAUUCCUUCCAAGCAAGAGCACUAACCCCCAGGUUAAGCUCAAUAAAUGGGCAGGGCAUCAGGGGAUCAGUCUGCCCGGAGAGGUGGUGAGACCUUCAUGGCCACGGGCAGUGGUGGACAGGUGCAAGGCUGUGUGACCACUGCUCAGAACUGUGACAGCACCCAAUACAGCUGCUUGUGAUGGCUCUAAAGCAGUGACAUUACAGAAAUGAUUGAGCAGAGAAAAACCCAUCUUUCUUCUGAUCCAGACUGCAAAGUCCUGGUUUGGAGAACUGGACAAGCAGAUGACCUUGGGAAAAGCUGAGGGCUGGAGUGAGGGGGAGGGAAGGAAGCCAGACCUCCAGGGAAGGGGUGGUUCUGUUUCAAGCCCUCUGAACUUUGGUUUCUUACACUACAGCCUGAUAAAUGUAGCAGCGGUUAAGACUUUUGGCUCUGAUGUGAGGGCUUCAGAGAGCUGUGGCUGGCUCUUGGAGAUGAGGAGAGGCUGUGCAGCCUCUGCUCCUGUCCCAAAUAAAUAAAUUAAAGCUGUGGGGUAAAGCCAGCAGCUGUUUUUUAAACAGAUUAAGGGUCUUAGUGUCCUCCCUGCCUUUUAGUGCACUGAGCCUUGCUGGGCAGGCAGGCAGCAGGGCCCACCAGCUGCACGUGGGGCCAGUUUAUUGCUAAACCUUGUGUCUUGGCCCUGUCUGGCCCAGUAGUGUUUCUGUGCUAUGUCUGGUAUGUUAAAUACCCAAGAGUCAAUAAAAACAGGGAGCCACUUCCUAAUGAUGAAGGGCUGCAGGAGGAGAAGAGCAAGAGUUAAACCAGCGUAGGAGUUAAAUCUUGAAGCGCAGGCCCCUCAUGCUGUGAGCUGCCGAACACAUGGGCUGCCCAUCCUACCUCUCCUUGCUGAGGGUAGAAAGGCUGAGGUGAGACACCUGCACCUUCACAAUUUCUACAGCGAAUUAAAGAGAAGGGUUCUGAAUCUGCUGGGGGGUAAGAGAGGCUUGCAGGGAGCCAGGAUACUAAGAGGAAGAGGAGGGUGUGGGAGGAAAUAGAGUUCAGACCUGUGUGUGCAAUAUAAGGAAGUAUGGGAAUAUCCCUGAGAGAUUAUCAGAGAGAUCUCCAGUUAUGAGCAAAGGGCACAGGCUGGACACAAAAAUGCUAGCUCAUGCAGUUCAGCACAUGAAAGUGUAUGAGUGAAUGAGCUCACAGGGAAGCUGGUGCAGGAGAACAGGAGCGACCCAAGGGAAGGGCUCAGUCUGGAAUGCAGGAAAGAGCGGGAAAAGGUGGAUGGUGCUGCUGGGUGGGAGCAGAAGGGAGGACAAAGGUGCUGAGGAGGUGGGCUGGUGGAGAGAACUGACCCUGCUAAUAACAGUAGGUGUGACUACAUUAAGAAAAAAUACCAAGGGAAUUCCUAAGGAAUCAGAGAAAUGUACUGCUGUGUGCUUGUCCUGGCUCUGAAGAACAGCAGGGAUGAGGGACCUUGUGGUGGGAAGUCCCCAGCAGCCCCAGGGAAGCAAUGUCCGUGGUGUGAAGGCAGCAGAAGCUGCGCUCCCAGGAGGGAAUAGAGUUGUGAUACCAUGGGAUAAACCAGAAGGAGAAUGUGCUAUGGGG
ensembl:lncRNA